GAUGAACGCUGGCGGCGUGCCUAACACAUGCAAGUCGAACGGAGUUAUUAUUAUGAAGUUUUCGGAUGGAUUGAUAGUAGCUUAGUGGCGGACGGGUGAGUAACGCGUGGGUAACCUGCCUCAUACAGGGGGAUAACAGUUGGAAACGGCUGCUAAAACCGCAUAACAUUGCACUGCCGCAUGACAGAGCAAUUAAAUAUUUAUAGGUAUGAGAUGGGCCCGCAUCUGAUUAGCUAGUUGGUAAGGUAACGGCUUACCAAGGCGACGGUCAGUAGCCGGCUUGAGAGAGUGACCGGCCACAUUGGGACUGAGACACGGCCCAAACUCCUACGGGAGGCAGCAGUGGGGAAUAUUGCACAAUGGGGGAAACCCUGAUGCAGCGACGCCGCGUGAGUGAAGAAGUAUUUCGGUAUGUAAAGCUCUAUCAGCAGGGAAGAAAAUGACGGUACCUGACUAAGAAGCCCCGGCUAACUACGUGCCAGCCGCCGCAGUAA
rnacentral:rRNA from 1 species